rnacentral:lncRNA from 1 species
UGAGUUUAGCAGUUUUAGAACAGCUUGCUGCUCCAACAACUUUAAAGUUGUCUUGGUGUACUGCUACAGAAAUAGGCUGCAUCCACAACAUAUUAACUCUGAAUUUAUCUAUUGAUUUUGCCAGUUUUCCAGAAUAGUACUUUUCGGAUUGUAUAGGACCUUUUUGACUAAUUUUUUCUUUGUUUUCUGAGUAUUGCUGCAGAAAACCUGUUUUAUGCUUAGUUUCACUUUUUGAUAAUUCAAUCGGAAUUUCUUUCACAAGUGUUUCUUUUCUUUCUUCAAUGCAGUGAACCUUGAUGGAAAAAUAUUUACGAAGGUUUUAUAAGAUAUCCAUUCUCAAACACCUAAGGUAGCAUUACAGAUAGUUAGAUAUUCAUAGUUUUUUUCUUAAUUACCAUGAAUUAUUUUUUAAGUGUUAACCUUUCCAUUUCACAGGAGAGCAAUUUAUUUUUCUUAUAAGCGACGAAAUGUAUGCUACUCAACUGCGCAAGUGUAAAUCUGCCUAACUGUUGCUACUGACAACAGUAAGAGCCUACUCAAUCUUUGAAUUCAGUUACAAAUAUCAUAGUCAGCUAAUGUGAAAACUCUCAUAUUGUUCCUCUAGUUUUCUAGAUCAAGCUCGGCAUGCAAGCUGUGUUGGCACAAAGAUUUGGUUGAUUCAAGGAGGUUUCUGGCACUUCAGUAAUUAACAGAAAACUACUACUCUAGCUGGGGCAACUUCAGAUGUUCCUAGUGGUUCUAUGAUUGGCAGGUCCGGCCAGUGCCAUCUUAAGCAGCUGUGAACCAAGUGUUCCUUUACAUUGCACUCAUCUAGAUCAACAGAGUAGCUAGGGUUGCGCGCUCAGUCUGACCGAACUGAACCGAUCGGUUCUUCAGGUUUUAGCAGAUUUCGGUUACCUAAAACUAGGAACCGAUUGGUGCCAAAAGUUUCCAAGACUGAGUAGCUUCAUGCAUUCUAUGCUGCUCACACUUGCUUGCUUAUAUACGAGGUGAUUGUUACACUUUCCCUGAGGUCAUUUUGUGAUGCCAGUAGACAUUGUAAAUGCCGUUCUUUUCCUGGAGAAAUAUUGAUCAAGCUUUUCUCCUCGGUGACUUUGCUUGCAGGAAUGUCUCAUUGGAAGGUGACAUUGAGGGCUGGCACUGUACCUCCCUGCAUGCCCUGCUGCCCACCUACUGCAUCCUGACCACGGUCCGUGUGCGGGAUGGCUCGACCACUGUAUUGCUUCCGGAGGGGCCGCUCUGCGACGUUCUCCGGCACUCUACAACCAUGUGGUCACCGCGGUCCGUGUGCGCGAUGGUCCGUGGGCGUCGACCGCUUCGGAGAACGUGUGUGCACGAUACUACCUAGUAUUUAUAUGUAAGGAUUUGACAGUUCAGUUAUGUAUGAGUAGUAUAGUUAGUAUAAGAAUAUAUUUGGAAAAUAAGUAUAAUAACUUUGUUAAAAUAUAUCACAUCUUUCUUCGUUAUCCUAUCUUAUUUCCUUUUCCUUUACUCCUCGCGUCUCCUCGUUUCCACCUCUCGACUAGCGGCGAUGGCGGCGGCGACUGGCGACGAUAGAGGCGGCGACUGGCGGCGGCGGGCGGCGUCGACUGGCGGUGACUGCGCGGCGGGGGGCGACGACGGCCUCGUCCACGGAAGCGCAAGAUCCAUCCGAGCCGCCGGAGACUCCGCGCCACAUCCAUCUGUCCACGGCGGCCUCUCUCUCUGUCUCGUCGCCGCCGCCAUCGCUUGAAAGGGGAGAAAAGCAGGGAUGGGUUCUUGCGCUUCGGUUCAAAACAAGGAUUCUGGCUUCCCCAAGAAGCAGUUUCUUGCGUCGCCCACCAAGGCGAAGGCCGCCAACGGCAAGGGCGGCGACGGCGUUGCUCCGCUUGGCGAUGGCUUUGGUGAUCUCAAGUCCAAGGCCGAGGGGGAGCAGCAGCGGGCAGGUUUUGGCCCAAAGAGCCCGGAUUCUAGUACGCGUGAUGAAUCUUUGCUUUCUUUGGUUGUUUUCUGAAGCGAGGUCCCGAUCUUUAUCUUUUCAGUCAGUUAUUACUAUAGUUUAGAGAGGAUCUUUGGAAGUAAAGAAGCAGAUGGGCAGUCAGUUCUUUAUAUGAAAAGGGACUUUUUGGGUUCGUUUAUUGAUUUAUUGGGCUCUGGAAGAUUUGAUAGCCAAGUGUAGUGUUAUCGCUGCAUUAAUCUCUUCUGGAGAUCAGUUAGCUUCGUAAUUUUGCAGGGGCUGACGAUCUUGAACGGAAAAGGAUCUUUGUUGAUAUACUGACUGAUUUUGGUUUCUUUUAAUGGAGGAGUUUUAGCUGUUACAAUUUGUUCUUGAAAAUUUAAAGCUUUCUAAAUGACGAUGAUCUCUUCUAUCCAAAGUAGAUUACUCUAUUGACUGAAGGCUUUUUACAGCCUGAUCAUUUCUGUUGUUUCGUACUUUCGUUAGAAUGGAGGAGUUUUUUUUUUGUGCGUGUAAAAUUGCUGACUAAAUCCUAAAUUGAAAUGGCACACGGCUUUGUUGAGGGAAUCAAGAUCUUGCCAAUAACCUCUUGAAUAGCUUAGUUGCAAUGGGCUGUGCUUCAAUGUUUCUUUCCCCAAAAUCAAUUGCUAGCUCUUGAUGGUUCUGAAUUUCGCUUAGUUGAAAUUGUUCUCUUCACUGAUACACACUCAUAUACCAAGCUGAUUGAAUUUAUCUCUCCACUUAGCUGAAAGUACAAUAACAUGAAUACAGUGACUCUUUUAAUCAAGAGUGCAACUUAUGGGAUUUAAUUUGCAGGCAGCAAGGAUGAAGUGUUCUUCGAGUCUCGAGCUUGGUUAGAUUCAGACUGUGAGGAUGACUUUUACAGUGUGAAUGGAGGUAAUCAAACCGUUGACAUGUUUAAUUGGUAACUGCCAAAAGAAGCUUCAAUGUAGUUUUAGAUAGGCAAAGACAUAGUUUUCUUCUAUACUUGUGUUGUGUGCAAUUGUCCUGGCUCAUCAUACUGUGAUUACUUUUGCACCUUACCAUUCCCUUUUUUAGGUUGUCCUAUUAUUAUAUCAGUAGCAUGUGCAUGUGGAUUGUUCCACUUGUUGCGCGCAAAUUGCAUGUGCUGUGAUAGGUUCUUGAUGAUACAACCUUUAAUUGUCUCUAGAAUCUAAGGGGCCUAAUUUAUAGUUUGAUUGGCUAUCGAAACAAAAAGGUCAUGCCUUUGAUUUUGUCUUUGGGUGCUAUCAUGUUUCUUAGCAUCUAACAGUUAUGGACAUGGACCCCCACCUUAAGUUUCAUAACCUAUCCCAUGUGGUCCUUACCAAAUCACUCUAGCAAUAUCCUGGAAACAUAACACAUUCAUUCAUGGGCUUUGACGUUGUAAGGAGAGUUCUGAUGCACUCAAGUUCAAUAGUUGAAUAAGUAGAUAUCCCUAUCAGCCCAUGUGAUGUGAUUCGCUUCAGUUGCUGCAUAAUCUAAGUUGUGCUUUUCUUAUGCAGAUUUCACUCCACCUCGUGGCAGCACACCGAACUACCAACCUAGAAUGCAAACAGUGAUGACCAAGAUCUUUCAACCGGACAAUUCAGACAAGUCCAAAUCACCAGAACCUUCUCCAACUGGCAGGAGGAAACUAGCCGAGCUCCUGCAGGAGGCGAUGCAAAAUGGCCCUGAAGAAAGAACUGAUCUCAGCAAGAAUGAGAAGAAGCAGUUGCAAUCUGUCGCUGCAGACGGGAAGCUGGUGUCUGAAUCCACAUCCAGCUCCGCUUGCAGCACGGAACUAACGCCGACCUUGGUCGCCAAGAGCCGGAAGGAGAAGGCAUGGUACUCCGGGCGCUGUUGCCUGCCGAGCUUUGUUCAUAGCCUGACCUUAGAUGAGAGUGAGAGGGGGCAGAAGAUGAGCUCUGGGCCAUGUGCUGUUUGACAGUGGUGCUCCAGUGCCCUCCUGCCCUGAGCUGUAUUUAGCACGAUAUAUUGCUCGAUCUGGACCCUGAAGCUACUGUAAAGAAGUGGGGGGGUAUUAAGAGUACUAUAUCCUUGUAGGAAUCAAGUGUAUAAUAGCUACCCGUUAAAUUGAUGUGGACUGCAUGUUGAUCAACUGCAAGAGUAGAACAUCUACCCUGUGCAUAUCUUCUCGAAUCUUCAUGGAUAUAAAUAUAUAUAGUUUCAGAUGUCAAAUGCCAGCAUAGCUAGGGCAUGUCAGCAUGUGACAUGUGGGAUACCAUGCCUUUCAAUAGUUCAUGUAAUGUGAUUGAGGUCUUGUUUAGUUUUCAAAUUGGGAGUGGCAAAGUUUGCAUUUUGCCAUAAAUACGAAACUGUAGCAUUUCGUUUGUAUCUGUGAAUUAUUGUCCAAACAUUGACUAAUUAGGCUUAAAAGAUUCGUCUAGCAAAGUACAACAAAACUGUGGAAUUAGUUUUUGAUUUCGUCUAUAUUUAGUACUUCAUGCAUGUACCACAAGUUUAAUGUGAUGGGGAAUUUUCUUUUUGCAUAGUGUCAAAGUUGAGAAAAAGAUGACUAAAUUGUGAUGCCCUAUUGGCACUUGCAUGAUUGACGCCAGACAAAUGUAUUGCUCUAUCCUGUAUCAAGUGUACCUUUUUGUUUGCCCCUCGGAUAUCUGCAAUGGUCAAGUCAUGGAUCAAGCCGGGUGCGUGUUUUGCAGCACACUGAUGGAGCUUGUGGCAAGGACAGGCUAAUAUCUGCUCAGAAUGUGGAAAACUACACCUCUGCGUUCGUCAUUCCUGUUCUUUCCUAACCACCAAACAAUGAUUCAGGGAUAAUCGUCAAAGCAUUCAUGGAUGACCAAACGACCCGCAAAUCCUGUUGUCCUGACAUGCAAGUCUGAGAAUGUACCUGCAGAUAUUAUACACAUCAUCGACCGCUUCCUACGAAACAGGGCCGCCAGAGUGGCUGCGGCGGAGAAGGUGAAACUGCAGUUGAUGCUGAACGGCAUGCAACUGAGGGACGGGGACGACACCCGGUGCUGCCUGCUGCAAGGAACCCACGGCGAGCUCAGAAAUCAGAAUGUCCGUGCUAUAUCGCACUCUGAUGGCGGCCACAGACCUCUCUCCCUGCCACUUCGCCUCCUACGUCUGGAAGAAUCGUGCUCCGCCACGAGUGAAGUUCUUCAUCUGACUCUUGGUCCAGGAACGAAUACCAUUACCAUGCAGGGGCAAUUUGGCCGAGAAGCACAUGCUGCCGAACGCCAUGUGCGACCUCUGUGGCCACCUGGAAGAAACGACGGACCACAUCAUCUUCCAGUGUCCGACAGCUCUCGCUCUCUGGGCACGCCUGGGGUACUGCGCAGGUUGCUGCAUGCGUCCUGCCGUGAUGAUACAAAGCGCUGAGCGGCGCGGGUUCCUGGUGCUCGCUCUUUUCUCCCAUGCAGAACACCGAUGUGAUAUCUUUCAUCCGUCCUGUAACCCCAAACUGCUGUAAACUGAGUCCAUGUUUCCCUUCAAACUCCCAACUUUAACACUAUGCAAAAAGAAGAUUCCCCAUCAUAUUAAACUUGCAGUACAUGCAUGGAGUACUAAAUGUAGACGAAAUCAAAAACUAAUUGCACAGUUUUGUUGUACUUUGCGAGACGAAUUUUUUGAGCCUAAUUAGUUAAUAUUUGGACAAUAAUUCACAAAUACAAACGAAACACUACAGUUGUGCAUUUGUGGCAAAAUGCUAAUUUUGCCACUCCCAAAUUGGAAACUAAAUAAGGCCUGAACUGAUAUAGCCCUGUUUCGGACCUGAGAUCCUAAUGGAAGUUUCAGGUGGGGGAGUCUCCCCCGUGUCGACCUUUCACAAAAGAAAGUACGAUACUUAAAGUUUUGAAUUACAAUAUUUUCAAAACAUUUCAUCAAGAAAAAUUUAAGUGCAUAUGAAGGGGAAAAAAGGUCUUGACAUGAUAGCCAAACAAUUUAAGUGCAUACGCAGGGAUCUCCCCUGUGCACGCGCCCGGAUUUUCAAACGACGCCGACGAAGUCCAAAUAGAAGACUCCACGAACCCACGUUCUGCAAAUACGCGCGCGUUUUGACCCAAAUGACCGCGCGCCGGCACCAUUAGCGAAUACAAAAAUUGAACGAAGCCAGAGAACCGACGACCCUUGCCUCGGCCUAUAAAUAGAUGGAGUUUGGAGAGGAAAGCAAUCGAUCCCAGGCUGCUACGCUAAACACGAAACGCCGCCGCCAGGCUGCUGCGAUCCCUUGACGGAGAGCGGCACCGGCAAACACCACCCCAGCAAGCACCGGUGAGGAAGGAGAUCCGGCAAGGUGAGGAGCCUGAUGGCCGGCGUUCCUCUGAUCAUCUUCCCCUCGUCCUCCCUCUUUCUUGCUUCCCCAUGAUGCAAAUCAGAAGAAGGCUCAAGGCCCUGCCCGUCGAUUUGGUCUUUUGAUACAAACCACAACGGGAUGCAAGAAGGCCCCAAUCCUCGGCUCGGUCCGUUGAUAGAUACGACGUCAGGAUGGGAUGAGCUCUUGUUCUUCGAUUCGGUCUGUUGAUACCAACUCAUGGACAAGUGCUAAUGACUGCAUGUUGAAAGCGGUUGAACCAGGCUCUCCCUGCACUCCGAUCCGUAUACGGGUUCGCUCAUCAUGAAUCCCUGCAGCGAGUGGCAGCGGCAAGAACACAUAUAAAGUUACCUGCAUGCUGAUUACAAGUGGUUGCCUUAUGUAUACUACACGUGUAGGCUCUCCCUAUAUACUGGAGCAUACUGUCUUGUUAGUAGUAAAGCAGGUCGAUCAACCACCUCCAAAGAAACGAUCAUCUCUGUAUAAACUAUUAGAUAGAUGGCGUCAAAAGAAACAGUCAUGCGCUGCAUCGUCUGCAUGCAUGCAAGUUCAGUUUAGUAGUCUCCUACCCAUGCACCCCAUUGCCUAGCAGAAGCAUCAACUAGCAUCAUCUCAAUUUAUAAAAUCGGCUACAUUAAUUGAUUCUGUGGCCGCAUACUCAACUGCUCUAUGUCAAAAUAAUUAGCAUGCAUCGAAAUCUGCAGCUGCUUCAAAUCCUAUGCGUAGCCAAAUGCUUAGAUACUAAUGUAAACGUAGUCGAACUAAGAAAACUCUGCCACAUGCAUGAACGUCGUCUCUGCGUCUUGUCCUGAUCAACCAGGAUGAGAUAAACAAAGCUUACAAUAGCGACGCAAUACUCGUAGUAGCUGUGAGUUAAAUAAUGACAAAUCAUGCCUAAUCUAAAGGAACAGGCAGUCACGAUGUUUCCCUGAGAAAUACUAUAACCUGUCUCAUGCAAAUGACAGAGAAAAGGGAAACGUUAUAAGAAUAUCCGACAUCUGCAUCUCGGGUUCGAUAAGCGUACAAACAAACUAGCAGUAACCCAUGUGUACACAGAAUGUACCUCUGCUAAACCAUGCAUGAAUUCCAAAUAAGUGCAUGAGCUUGAAUUUUGUUUAAUUUUAAUGGAUCCUAAGUUUGAGCUAUAAUUUUAACAUAGAAAUCUAUAUUCUCACCAGUUUCUCUAUGUAUUUAUAAAUGGUGACACACAUCAUGUGUAUAUACCUUAAGUAUUGUAUUAUAUACCAAUGGUGUAAGAAUAGAUAAUUUAAAAUCAUAUAUUGGUGUACAUGGGGUAUAUUUUUAAUAAAUGUGAUUUAGAUUCAUUUUUAGAGUUACCUCAUAUUAUUUUUAAUAAUGAUAUAAGUGGGUAAUAUAGAUGCAAAUUUAGGGGUUACUUUAAGUUAUUUUUUAAGUAUUGGUGGUGGGCAAUUUAGUUGAAAAUUUAGGGAGUUAUGUUAAUUUUUUUAUAAUGGCAUAAGUGGGUAAUUUAGAUGAAGAUUAGGGGUUACUUUAGUUUAUUUAUAUAAUGACAAAGGUGGUUAUUUAGAUAGAUUUCAGAGGUUACUUUAGGCUAUUUUCAUAAUGGCAGAGGUGGGUAAUUUUUUAGAAAAUAUAAUAGAUCCAAUGGUAAUGAUGAUUUGAGUCUAUCGAUUGAUUGCCGGACGUUUUGCUUUUUUUAAGAAUUUUUAGGAUUUCUCUAUUUUUUUAGAGUGUCCACCUAAGAUCCUAGGUGGCUUCACCUGAAGGCUUCAAAAGGAGCCUCCAAUUAGUAAUAGUAAGAUGCGAUCCCAUGUUUUUUUACUCCUUGCAUUGAGGAGGUUUUUCCACGCAAAUCACUUGUCUUUGUGCAUGCCACUUUGAGUUUUUAUUGAUUUUCCCAAUUCCCAUGCUUCGAAUUCUUCUAUAAUGAUGUGUACUAAUGGAAAUUAAAGUCACAAUUUUCUGUUGCGCCAUGACAUUUCCUAAUAAAUAGCAGGUGAAUGGUCCAUAUCUAGACAUGCAUGGAGUCGCCUCAGGUAUUGAGGUAUCAUUAAACCAGCAUGCUCAAUAUGUUCUCACACAAAGUUGCACUGUUUCUGUUUUCCGAUGAUGGGUACUCCAUAUUAUUGUUUAAUGUUCUUUCCGGGGGAAAAAAACUAGGGACAUGAACCAUUCUAUAUUUCUGGACUUUGAGAUCUAGUGCUCUUGGGUUGCCUAUAUGGUUGUUGAAACUUGAAAACCAUAUUGACAGUAGUAGCUCUGAAGGUGUAGAAUUCUAAAUUAAACCUUCAUGCACUGCCCGAACUCUGAAAUAAAGUUGCAUACUACUCCACUUGAAUCCACCCAAUGCAUGAUUAAGCGUUGCGUGCAUAUAGGCAAAAUGGUCUGUUCUAUGUCUGAUUAAUUAGCAAAUGCAUCUGGUGUGUGCAGUGGAUAGUAGUUGUUACGUUGCAUCCCAGUUCCUAACAGCCUCCAUCAGACUUACAGUUAUUACGCCAGGUCAGCCAUUUUUUUUUUUGUCGUUGCUCCGCACCAAGAACGUGGAACGCAGCUUCGAAUCCCCAUUCCAAUUCCAUCCUCAUUGCGGCAGCGGGAGGGGAACUGGGGCAAGAGUCCAGCAGCAAAAUAAAAUACGCGAGGACGUUCUGCUAGGCAAAGAGAUUUCUUUCCGGAUCUCUAGCCGGACGUUGAGCAGGGUCUCCUAAUUGAAAGCUUUUAUUUUGGGGGGCAUCUCCUAAUUGAAGGAUUGGGCACUUGUUCCCAGCUCGCUUCUUGAGGUUGACAUCAGUGCGUUGCGUGAGUACACGUGAUUCGGAAUAUUGGCUGCGCAACAAACCAAGUGGUAAGGAAAAGAUCUUUCGACCAAGCAUCUGUCAUUUGUGGUCGGUCAUCAACACGCGAGAAAUUAAAAUUCCCAUCUGCUUUUGGGAUAUUUUGAUGAUCAGGCGGACCAUGGAAGUAUGGAACACAUGCUGCACCAUCCGGUGACCGAGACAAUAUCUGUCAUACGUUGGGCCCAGCCCGUGCCCACGCAAAAAAAAAAGAGAAGAUCAUGCUCACUGUUGUUAAGCAACAAAGCGACAACAGAACGUAGGAUCAAGAGCAGCCUAUAUGGUCACCAAGGGCAAGCAUCACGCCAUCCCCGAAGUAUCUCAAUGUACUUUUACUUGACACAUGCCUAUAAUUACAUACUGUAACGUCGAGUUCCUGACCCAUAAGCUUUAUGGACAAGCCGGAGUCAGGGGGGGACAAGACACCUCAUUUUUUAUGUCGCGACAUGUCGCCGCGAUGGCUUGACAGCGGCCCGUCACCGGCUUGUGGCUGCCGGUAAUGGAGCGGCUAGCUGGCCAGCCGGGCCAGCGAGACCUGAAGGUGAUGCCUCACCAUCACCGCGCUGGCAUGACAGCGACCCGGCACUAAUAAUGGAGCAGCUGGCUGUAGUGGCUUCACUUGGAAGCUGGUUCCGUUCAUCAGCUCAGUCCUUCCACGCUGCCAUCUCCAUUGUUCUCACUUCUCAGCACUGCACCCUUGGGAACGUAUGCGGUAUGCCUCAACGCACUGCCGCUCUCAUCUAGUCCUCUCGUCGUGUGAGUCUGCAUCCUCCUCAUUCCUCAGCUAGUUUGGCCUCUCGUAGGUGCUGAAUGUUGCCUGAUUCCAGACCAUCUUUCGUUCCCAGAUUCCAGCCUCCUCUGUUCCGAAGCGACGCCCAUGAGAAUUGAGAUGGCAUGGCACUACUAACCAGGAGGGAUUUGGCAUCGACGACUCCUUGUCCGACGACGUCUUCUCCGCCCCGCCCGGCCCGGUCCUCUGCUGUACAUCCUGUUUUCGGAUCUGGGGUGUCUUCUCCAACACCUCUGCCGGAUCUUACUCUUUUGAGGAAGUCUCUACAGAUUUGAGCACACGCUCUGGCUGAGUGCCAGCCCUGGUGUGCAUCCGUUUUGUGGUAGGUACACGUACACCUCUUUCUGUCAUGUUCCUCGAAUGAAUCCUUGUCACGUGUUACUGAUUUGUUCUCUGCGAUUGCAAAUGCCUUUCCCUCUGCCUUCGGAUCCAGAAGGAACCUGAACCACCGCGUGACUCGUGAAGAUGGAGUUCGCGUUCAGCGCGGCGCGGUGGGUGGUAGGCAAGGCGCUCGCCCCCGUCGCAGACGGCUUCCUGGAGGCGUGGGCGGCCAGCAAGAAUCUCGGCUCCGAGGUCGAUGGCCUCAUGACGGUGCUGCAGUACGCGCAGGCCAUGCUCAACAACACCCGUGGCAGGGAGAUCGACAACCCGGCCCUCAACGACCUGCUGCUCAAGCUGCGUCUGCUGGCCUACGACGCCGACGACGUGCUCGACGAGCUCGACUACUUCCGCAUCCAGGACGAGCUCGACGGCACCUACCAUGCCGCUAACGAGCACGCCGGGGGAUACGCCCGUGACCUCCUCCUCAAUGCUCGUCACACUGGAAGAUACGUUGCCAAUAAGUUCAAGCUCUCCUCAGGCUCGCCUGAUGCUACUCGUGGUGCUCCUAACAAGCAAGGAGAUGAUGCAGAAGGACAUGGGUGCCUCUCCAGCGUCCUCUGCUCGUGUGGCAUACGGGCGGACAGCUCGUCAUCACCACCACCACCACCACCAACAACAACACACACCAACCAUGGCGACAACAAGGUCGGUACUGAUGCCGGUUGCAUGUCGAAGGUCACCUCUGCUGCACGCAACACUGCCAAUGCUGUCGGUAAACGCCUCCCAUGCUGCUCUUCCAUAUUUGUCGAUGGUCGUGGACGACGAUUUCUAUGUGGUGUCUGGCCGUCCAAGGUACCGCAGAGAAGACAAACUGCACAGAUACCAAAAUUGAAGUUUGAUAGGGUGGAUGUAUCUACAAGGAUGACAGAGAUCGUAAAGAAGCUCAAGCCCAUCUGUGCUAUGGUCUCAACCGUUCUUAAUCUAGAGCUGAUAGGCUCCAAAGGUAUCACUACUGCCACCAUGGAACGGCCCACAACCAGUGAGGAAAUUACAGAGCCUAAAUUGUAUGGGAGGGAGACAGAGCUACAGAGUGUUGUAGAUUCCAUUACCCAUGGUGAAUGUUUUGCCAAUGAACUUACUGUGCUUCCAAUUGUUGGCCCGGGAGGUAUUGGGAAGACAACUUUCACACAACAUGUAUACCAAGAAGCGAGGAGCCAUUUCCAAGUUACAAUUUGGAUAUGCGUCUCUCUGGAUUUCAAUGCAGAUAGAUUGGCGCAAGAAGCUGUGAAAAAGAUUCCUGAAGUUAAAGAUGAAAACAAAAUUGGUAGUGAUCAAGAGCUAAUUGAGCAAAGAUUAAAAGGUAAACGGUUUUUGCUUGUCCUGGAUGAUAUAUGGAAAUGUCAUGAGUAUGAGUGGGAAAAACUACUAGCACCAUUUGGAAAAGGUGGAGGAAAAGGUAAUAUGGUUAUAGUCACAACUCGAAUGUCAGAUGUGGCCAAAAUGGUUAAGACAGGUGAUUCUCAAAUACAAUUGGAUCGUUUAGGAGCUCAAGAUUUUAAGGAUUUCUUUGACGCAUGUGUAUUUACCAAACAUGAGUCAUUGUCAGAUCAUACUGAGUUAAUUGAAACUGGGAAAGAAAUAAUGGCCAAACUGAAACGUAAUCCUCUUGCAGCAAAAACUGUAGGGAGAUUACUAAGAAAACAGCUCACUUUGGAGCAUUGGAGAAGGGUUCUAGAGAGCAAAGAAUGGGAACUCCAAACCAGUGACAAUGACAUUAUGCCAGCGUUGAAGAUUAGCUAUGAUUAUCUUCCACUUAACCUAAAGCAAUGCUUUUCCUAUUGUGCUUUGUUUCCUGAAGAUUACGAAUUUGACAGCAAAGAGUUAGUUCACUUUUGGAUAGGACUAGAUGUUUUACAUCUGGGUGAUCAGAGCAUAAGAAUAGAAGAUGUUGGCAAGAGUUAUUUGAUUGACUUGGUCAACUAUGGAUUUUUCAAAAGGAACGAAAAAGACAAUGGCUGUCAUUAUUAUGUUAUCCAUGACCUAUUACAUGAGCUGGCUGUGAAAGUUUCACGGUACGAUUGUCUUAGCAUACAAAUAUCUAAAGUGAGGUCUGCACAUAUCCCGGCAUCAGUACGCCACUUGUCUAUCAUUGUGGAUAACAAAGAUGUUGAGGAUAUAAUUACUUAUAAAGACUUUGAGAAGGAUCUUGGUGCACUUGAUAAAAGGCUACAAAUUGAAAACAUACGUACAUUGAUGUUGUUUGGUGAAAAUGUGCAGAGUUUUUCCAAAACAUUUGGUAAUUUGUUUAAGAAAGCUGGAGCCCUUCGCGCUAUUUUUUUGUCUGGAGCAUCAUAUAUUGUGGAGGAUAUGUGGCAGAACUUUUCAAAGCUUGUCCACCUUCGCUACCUAAGGAUUAAGGGGGAUUACCAUUUUCUGGAAACAGACCUACCAGGAACAAUUUCAAGACUAUAUCACUUGAAGAUCCUAGACAUUAAAGAUUCCUCGAGCUGCCCUAUGCCAUCAAGAUAUUUAAGCAACCUCGUAAGCAUGCAACAUUUUCUUGUCCCUGGCAAUAAUAGCCUUCACUCAGACAUUCUCAACGUGGGAAACCUGAAACUUCUACGAGAACUAAGAAGAUUUGAAGCUAAGAAAGAAAAUAAAGGUUUUGAGUUAAAGCAACUAGCAGAACUACUAGAGCUUGAAGUACUGGGCAUUUACAAUCUUGAAAAGGUUAAAGUAAAGGAAGAAGCAGUUGCAAUAAAACUAAUACAAAAACACCAUUUACAAGAGCUCGUACUAGAUUGGGAUAUUAAUCGCUCCGAUAAGGAUCCUAUAGGAGAAGAGAAUAUCCUUGAAAGUCUUAUGCCACAUAGCAAUCUCUACAAGCUAUCUAUUGCUGGGCAUGGAGGUGACACUUGCCCUUCAUGGCUUGGUACGAACCUCUCGGUAAAAACUUUGGAAUCUCUUCGGCUGAGUAACGUAUCUUGGAAAACAUUUCCAUCUCUAGGAGAGAUGUGGUUUGUCGGUGAACAUUGUAAAAGCUGUAUACCAGAACAAAGCUUCAAAAAAUUGAAGAGGCUAGAACUGGAAAAGGUACCAAAAUUGAUAAAAUGGGUUGGGAAUGGCCCUUCUGAUUUGUUCUCUCACUUGGAAGUACUCGUCAUCAAAGACUGCCCAGAACUCAUGGAGUUGCCAUUUUCACAUUGUGCUGGAUAUGGACAACACGUUGAGGAUAACAUGACCUGGUUUCCUAAACUGGAAAAGCUCGAAAUUGCAGAUUGUCCAAAGCUAUCAUCAUUGCCUUGUGUUCCAUGGUCUAGCUCUACUUGCAGAGCUGAGAUUGUACAAGCUGGUUCGGGUAUUGAGCAGCUGUCUUUCAGUGGAGAUAGGUUGAAAAUUGAGGGAAAGGACACAUUGGAUAGUGCUUUUUGGAGGGUGUUAGCCUUUCAUAACCUAUCCAAACUUGAAGAAUUGUGGGUGACGACAUGCCCUCCUUUGUCACUGGUUCACCUCGAAAAGCUAUCAUCCCUAGAGAGCCUCUGGAUAAAUGAUAUGGGUGAGGCCUUUUGUUCGGCUGAAAGUGAUGGUCAUGCCGGAUAUCAAUUUCCAGUUGAACGCAUCACGAUUGGGCGAUAUGGUGGUAGUGGGCAGCGACUGACACGACUGCUCUCUUACUUCCCAAACCUCCGCACGUUCUGGUUGUUCAAGUGUGAGAAGUUAACAGGGUUAGGCGUUGUGGGCCUGCAUAAGAGGACGGAAGCACUGCCAAGACCGCCGUCAAUUUCAGUUAACCAAGUGGAGGAGGCACAAGUUGGACAGCACGAGCAGCAGGGCGCAAGAGCAGGGGAGGAAAUAACAUCAGAAGGGGUACUAUUGCUGCCUCACCAAUUACAAAGUUUGUUGAUCUUGGACUGCCAAAAUUUGGUCCUCUGCCCAGGUUUACUCGACCACGACGAAGACGAAGGACGAACCGGAGGCCUCCAAGGUCUGAGCUCCCUCACUUCAUUAAUUAUAAGGAGAUGCCCCAGGUUCCUCUCCUCCUAUUCGUCGUCGUCCUCUUCUUCUUGUUUCCCUUUCCCAACCUCCCUGGAAUCUCUCUAUCUUAGCAGCGUGGAGGGCAUGGAAACGCUGCUCCCUCUCUCGAACCUCACCUCUCUCACAGAGUUAGACAUACAGGAAUGUGGGGAUCUUAAAGGCGAGGGACUGCAGUCUCUCCUCGCCCAAGGCCGUCUCACCAGAUUAACUGUCCUCGAAACCCCCAAUUUCUUCGCUGGUUCCGAGCCCUCACUGCCGCGUGAACAAGAGCUUCCAUCCUCUUCAUCCAAACUGCAGGAGCUUCACACGGAUGACGUCGCGGGUGUCCUUGCUGCGCCCAUCUGUGCCUUGCUCUCUUCCUCGCUCACCCAAUUGGACUUUUCGAGGGUCAGAGAGGUGGAGCGCUUCACAAAGGAGCAAGAGGAGGCCCUUCAGCUCCUCACCUCCCUCGAGGGGAUCAGAUUUAGGCAGUGCGACAAGCUGCAGUGCCUCCCUGCAGGGCUGCAUAGACUUCCGAACCUCAAGAGAUUAAGAAUCUUCGGAUGUGCAGCCAUCCGAUCACUGCCCAAGGAUGGCCUGCCAGGUUCCCUGCUAAAGUUGGAGAUAGACAGUUGUCCAGGCAUCCGGUCUCUUCCAAAGGUGGAAUACCUUCCAAGUUCGCUGCGAGAAUUGGUUGUCGCUGAUGGGAACAGCGAGGAACUAAGAAGGCAUUGCCGCAAGUCGAUAGGAACCAUUCCAAUAGUCAGAGCCUGAUUUACCCAAAGGUAACAAAGAGGUGGAACUUCCUAGUCACCAAUUUCCCUUGCUUUUCCUAACCCUAUGAACAUCAGUUAUUCUCCUUUUGUUUAUUUGAUUACAGUUAUGGUUUCCUUCCAAAUAACCCACUUGUUUUCACCUAUGGUGCAGGGCUGUUGUUCGAAUUGGGAUUUUCACUGUACCCAAACAUGAUUCUCAGUUGUCAAGCGUGAACAUCUCAGGAUAUAUCUAACACGCUGUGCAUAAACUGGUUAGUAUCCUGUAUGCAAAAUCAUCCGAGAGUCCCACAAAAUAUCUACAAAUUUGAUCCAUAUUUUUUUGUUAAUCCUCUGCCAAUUGUUUUUGCUAAUUAUUUGGAUGUCUUUUUCUUAUAAUUAUUGAGGAGUUUAAACUUUUCGUAUUGGAGUUGAUAAAAAACUAUUGAUAGACAAUUUUCUCACUCACCGAACCCUGAUGUGUGAGUUUAUCAGUUUAAGAACGGCUUGUUGCUCCAACAACUUUCAAGUUGUCUUGGUGUACUGCUACAGAAAUAGGCUGCAUCCACAACAUAUUAACUCUGAAUUUAUUUGUUGGUUUUGCCAGUUCACCAGAAUAGUACUUCUCAGAUUGUAGGACCAACAUAUUAACUCUGAAUUUAUUUAUUGGUUUUGCCAGUUUACCAGAAUAGUACUUCUCAGAUUGUAGGACCUUUUUUGACUACUUGCCUUUGUUUUCUGAUCUAUUGCUGCACAAAAUAUUGCAUCCUUACGCUUUUCUGAUAUCCUAAUUUCUUUGCUUAAUGCUGGACUAAUUUGCUGUACCAACAUGGUAUCACCGAUGUCUCAUUUUCUGUAUUCCAAGUCAGCAUACUUAUUGGAGUUUGAUGGACUUAUGUCCAUAUGUAUUCUUAGUAUCUGCAAAAGUCUCCAUUGGAACAUAUGUAAGCAAAAGAAGUGGCAGAAGCUAACCUAGAAAGCAAAAUAUAAACUUCUUUUUGUACUGCCACAUAGAGUUCCAAAAAAAAGUCUCCAUUGGAACUUAUUUUGCUAAUUAUUUGGAUGUCUUUUUCUUAUAAUUAUUGAGUAGUUUAAACUUUUUGUAUUAUAGUUGAUAAAAAACUAUUGAUGGGGAGUUUUCUCACUCACAGAACACUGAUGUGUGAGUUUAGCAGUUUUAGAACCGCUUGCUGCUCCAACAACUUUAAAGUUGUCUUGGUGUACUGCUACAGAAAUAGGCUGCAUACACAACAUAUUAACUCUGAAUUUAUCUAUUGAUUUUGCCAGUUUUCCAGAAUAGUACUUUUCGGAUUGUUUAGGACCUUUUUUGACUAAUUUUUUCUUUGUUUUCUGAGGUAUUGCUGCAGAAAUCCUGUUUUAUGCUUAGUUUCAC